rnacentral:rRNA from 1 species
GCGUGAGUGAUGAAGGCCUUAGGGUUGUAAAGCUCUUUUACCAGGGAUGAUAAUGACAGUACCUGGAGAAUAAGCUCCGGCUAACUCCGUGCCAGCAGCCGCGGUAAUACGGAGGGAGCUAGCGUUGUUCGGAAUUACUGGGCGUAAAGCGCGCGUAGGCGGUCUAUUAAGUCAGGGGUGAAAUCCCGGAGCUCAACUCCGGAACUGCCCUUGAAACUGGCAGACUAGAAUCUUGGAGAGGCGAGUGGAAUUCCGAGUGUAGAGGUGAAAUUCGU